AUCAAAAGGAAAAGGACGAGAGA
rnacentral:piRNA from 1 species